rnacentral:rRNA from 1 species
AUGAAGCUUCUUCCGGCCGCCCUCGGCCUCGUCCUCCUCCUCCUGCUCGUUCUGAAUCCCAAUGGCGUGGAGGCCCGGCCAGCCCCGGCCGUCGGCCAUCAGAAGAAGGCCUCGAGCGCUACCUUCUUCGUCUUCGGGGAUGACUUCGCCGACAACGGGAACCUCCCUCUGACCGACCCAGUCACCGAGAUGUCGCGGCAAUGGGCCUACCCCUACGGCUCCAACUACGUCGAUGCCGAUGGGUUUCCGCGGCCUAAUACUCCGUCCGGCCGUUUCUCAAACUACAGAAUUCAGUCGGAUUUCAUCGCAACAAUGCUGGGAUUGGAGGAAGCCCCUCCGGCGCAUGCCCGCACGGCAGAGAAAACCUGUGACCCAUCGGGCAUGACCUUUGCUACCGGUGGUGCAGGCGUGUUGGACAGUACAUUGCACGAGGUCUCCAUCCUUGCCAAGCAGGUCGACACUUUUAAAAAGAUGGUCAAGGACGGGACCAUCACGGAGAAUCAACUGAGUCGCUCUGUAGUGCUCGUGGCCUUCUUCGGUAAUGACUAUGCAGGCAUCGGCGUCAUUGGCCUAAGUAGUCCCAACAAUAUUAAUGCUUAUAUUGGGAAGGUGACAAAAGAGAUUGCAACUAAUGUGGAUCAAUUGUUGAAGCUUGGGGUGACAAAGGUUCUUGUCAAUAACUUGCACCCUAUCGGUUGCAUGCCAUCACACACCCGAACCAACAACUACACCACGUGCGAUAUUUUUGAAAACUUGGGUGCAACCAUCCAUAACGAUAAUCUGAAAAAAGUUAUGACAUCAAAGAAUGUCUAUAUCGUCGAUGUGUACACCGCCUUCACAAAUAUUGUGGAUCAUGUGGCAGGUAAAGGCUCAGAGCUGUCUAAACAAUUCAAGCGCAAACUAUCGCCAUGCUGCGAGAGUUUGGACUCGAAAGGUUACUGCGGACAGCAAGAUGAGUCAUCCUCGAAGCUACUGUACACUGUGUGCGACAAGUCGAACAAAUUCUUCUAUUGGGAUGACAUGCAUCCAACCCAUGCAGGAUAG